rfam:Fukomys damarensis contig130518, whole genome shotgun sequence.
GGCCUGCUUCUGUGUGAUAUGUUUGAUAUUGGGUUGUUUACUUAGGAACCAACUAAAUGUCAAACAUAUUCUUACAGUAGGAGGUG